rfam:Picea glauca, whole genome shotgun sequence.
GAGAGCACAGUACGAUGAAAGUUGUGAGUUGUGUUCGGGGGGAGUUAUUGUCUAUCGUUGGCCUCUAUGGUAGAAUCGGUCGGGGAGGCCUGAGAGACGGUGGUUACCCUGU